rnacentral:rRNA from 1 species
UGCUGGAGGUAUCAGAAGUGCGAAUGCUGACAUAAGUAACGAUAAAGCGGGUGAAAAGCCCGCUCGCCGGAAGACCAAGGGUUCCUGUCCAACGUUAAUCGGGGCAGGGUGAGUCGACCCCUAAGGCGAGGCCGAAAGGCGUAGUCGAUGGGAAACAGGUUAAUAUUCCUGUACUUGGUGUUACUGCGAAGGGGGGACGGAGAAGGCUAUGUUAGCCGGGCGACGGUUGUCCCGGUUUAAGCAUGUAGGCGGAGGUUCCAGGUAAAUCCGGUACCUUUUAACGCUGAGGUGUGAUGACGAGGCACUACGGUGCUGAAGUAACAAAUGCCCUGCUUCCAGGAAAAGCCUCUAAGCAUCAGGUAACAUCAAAUCGUACCCCAAACCGACACAGGUGGUCAGGUAGAGAAUACCAAGGCGCUUGAGAGAACUCGGGUGAAGGAACUAGGCAAAAUGGUGCCGUAACUUCGGGAGAAGGCACGCUGGUGUGUAGGUGAAGUCCCUGCGGAUGGAGCUGAGACCAGUCGAAGAUACCAGCUGGCUGCAACUGUUUAUUAAAAACACAGCACUGUGCAAACACGAAAGUGGACGUAUACGGUGUGACGCCUGCCCGGUGCCGGAAGGUUAAUUGAUGGGGUUAUCCGUAAGGAGAAGCUCUUGAUCGAAGCCCCGGUAAACGGCGGCCGUAACUAUAACGGUCCUAAGGUAGCGAAAUUCCUUGUCGGGUAAGUUCCGACCUGCACGAAUGGCGUAAUGAUGGCCAGGCUGUCUCCACCCGAGACUCAGUGAAAUUGAACUCGCUGUGAAGAUGCAGUGUACCCGCGGCAAGACGGAAAGACCCCGUGAACCUUUACUAUAGCUUGACACUGAACAUUGAGCCUUGAUGUGUAGGAUAGGUGGGAGGCUUUGAAGCGUGGACGCCAGUCUGCGUGGAGCCAACCUUGAAAUACCACCCUUUAAUGUUUGAUGUUCUAACGUAGGCCCCUUAUCGGGGUUGCGGACAGUGUCUGGUGGGUAGUUUGACUGGGGCGGUCUCCUCCCAAAGAGUAACGGAGGAGCACGAAGGUUAGCUAAUCCUGGUCGGACAUCAGGAGGUUAGUGCAAUGGCAUAAGCUAGCUUGACUGCGAGCGUGACGGCGCGAGCAGGUGCGAAAGCAGGUCAUAGUGAUCCGGUGGUUCUGAAUGGAAGGGCCAUCGCUCAACGGAUAAAAGGUACUCCGGGGAUAACAGGCUGAUACCGCCCAAGAGUUCAUAUCGACGGCGGUGUUUGGCACCUCGAUGUCGGCUCAUCACAUCCUGGGGCUGAAGUAGGUCCCAAGGGUAUGGCUGUUCGCCAUUUAAAGUGGUACGCGAGCUGGGUUUAGAACGUCGUGAGACAGUUCGGUCCCUAUCUGCCGUGGGCGCUGGAGAAUUGAGGGGGGCUGCUCCUAGUACGAGAGGACCGGAGUGGACGCAUCACUGGUGUUCGGGUUGUCAUGCCAAUGGCACUGCCCGGUAGCUAAAUGCGGAAGAGAUAAGUGCUGAAAGCAUCUAAGCACGAAACUUGCCCCGAGAUGAGUUCUCCCUGAGACUUUAAGUCUCCUGAAGGAACGUUGAAGACGACGACGUUGAUAGGCCGGGUGUGUAAGCGCAGCGAUGCGUUGAGCUAACCGGUACUAAUGAACCGUGAGGCUUAACC